rnacentral:rRNA from 1 species
AUUGAACGCUGGCGGCAUGCCUUACACAUGCAAGUCGAACGGUAACGGGCCUUCGGGUGCCGACGAGUGGCGAACGGGUGAGUAAUGCAUCGGAACGUACCUUUCAGUGGGGGAUAACGUAGCGAAAGUUACGCUAAUACCGCAUAUUCUGUGAGCAGGAAAGCAGGGGAUCGCAAGACCUUGCGCUGAUUGAGCGGCCGAUGUCAGAUUAGCUAGUUGGUGAGGUAAAGGCUCACCAAGGCGACGAUCUGUAGCGGGUCUGAGAGGAUGAUCCGCCACACUGGGACUGAGACACGGCCCAGACUCCUACGGGAGGCAGCAGUGGGGAAUUUUGGACAAUGGGGGCAACCCUGAUCCAGCCAUGCCGCGUGAGUGAAGAAGGCCUUCGGGUUGUAAAGCUCUUUCGGCCGGGAAGAAAUCGCACAGGCUAAUACCUUGUGUGGAUGACGGUACCGGAAUAAGAAGCACCGGCUAACUACGUGCCAGCCGCCGCCGUAA